CACGUAGUUAGCCGGCGCUUCUUCUGCAGGUACCGUCACUCUCGCUUCUUCCCUGCUGAAAGAGGUUUACAACCCGAAGGCCGUCAUCCCUCACGCGGCGUCGCUGUAUCAGGCUUUCGCCCAUUGUGCAAUAUUCCCCACUGCUGCCUCCCGUAGGAGUCUGGGCCGUGUCUCAGUCCCAGUGUGGCCGGUCGCCCUCUCAGGCCGGCUACCCGUCGUCGCCUUGGUGAGCCAUUACCUCACCAACUAGCUGAUAGGCCGCGGGCUCAUCCUGCACCGCCGGAGCUUUCCACCACCUUGGAUGCCCCAAGGCAGUGAGUAUCCGGUAUUAGACCCCGUUUCCAGGGCUUGUCCCAGAGUGCAGGGCAGAUUGCCCACAUGUUACUCACCCGUUCGCCACUAAUCCCCGCCCGAAAGCGGUUCAUCGUUCGACUUGCAUGUGUUAAGCACGCCGCCAGCGUGUCUCGUGCACGAGUCAACUAC
rnacentral:rRNA from 1 species